GACGAACGCUGGCGGCGUGCCUAACACAUGCAAGUCGAACGGAGUUUAUAACAUGAAGUUUUCGGAUGGAAUGAUAUAAACUUAGUGGCGGACGGGUGAGUAACGCGUGGGUAACCUGCCUCAUACUGGGGGAUAACAGCCGGAAACGGUUGCUAAAACCGCAUAAUAAAGAAUGGUCGCAUGACUGAUCUUUUAAAUAUUUAUAGGUAUGAGAUGGGCCCGCGUCUGAUUAGCUAGUUGGUGAGAUAAAAGCCCACCAAGGCGACGAUCAGUAGCCGGCUUGAGAGAGUGACCGGCCAUAUUGGGACUGAGACACGGCCCAAACUCCUACGGGAGGCAGCAGUGGGGAAUAUUGCACAAUGGGGGAAACCCUGAUGCAGCGACGCCGCGUGAGUGAAGAAGUAUUUCGGUAUGUAAAGCUCUAUCAGCAGGGAAGAAAAUGACGGUACCUGACUAAGAAGCCCCGGCUAACUACGUGCCAGCAGCCGCGGUAAUACGUA
rnacentral:rRNA from 1 species